CCAGAUCUACAGUCCGCUGUUAUUAUCUUUUCUGUAGUUGAAAAAAAAGCAACAAAAAACUCCUUUUUUUCUCCUCUUUAUCAAUCCAGAAACAGAAGCAAGGGGAAACUACCCAUUAAAUAUUUCGAGAGAAAAACUUGAGCGCCCGACCAGUCACUGAGGGAGGAGAGAGUCCUGGAUGCCUGAGACUCCAGAGGGGCUUCAGGGCAGAGCUGGGCUUGGGGGCAGCCUGGACCCUGGGGAGCUUCAGCGAGGCUUCCAGAGGCCGCAGUGCUCCUCAAAGUGUGAUCUCCUAACUAGCAGCAGCCCUUGGGAACUUGUUAAAAAUUCAAAUUCUCUUGCCCCACCCAGGCCUUCCUGAGUCUGACAUCCAGAUCUGCACAAUUGAAUUGAUCAUCUAAUUCCUGAGAAUGGAUCAGACCACCAACCUGCCAAGAGUCAAGAUGACUGAACAUAAAGCCCUCAUUCAUAAAUCAUUUGUUAAUAAAUCAGGAAGCAAGAAACUCAACUGGAAGUAAAAUUAUUCAUUCUCAUAUAAUGCAUAGGAUGGAUCUUAAAAGAUAAUUCCAUCUGGAUAACAUUCCCACUGAAAAAAAAGUUCAAUUCAUCAAUAUUCACAAAUAAUCUUAAGAGCCCCAGAGUUUUUCAGAGGUUUGCAGUGAUUCAACUGGUGGCUUCAGGAUGACUGUGGAAGAUGGAACCUGGGGCACAAUGUCAUUGAGAAGCUUAAACAUUAGUCUAGACAGUACUUCCCUGGUCGUCCAGUGGUAAAGAAUCUGCCUUGCAACUCUGGUUUGAUCCCUGAUCAGGGAUUAGAUCCCACAUUAGGCAGAGCAACUAAGCCCCCUUGCCAUAACUCAAGUCCAUUCGCCUCACAGGAUGAUCCUUCAUAAUGCAACUAAGAUCCGACAUAGCCGAAUAAUAAAUAAAUAAAUGAAUAUUUAAAGAAACAAAAAACCUUUAGUCUAGAUGUAAAGGGUGGCUCAGUGGUAAAGAACCACCUUGCCAAUGCAGGAGACACAAGAGACGUGGG